AAUAUCUUAAAAUAUUAGCUGGUGUCUGGCAUCUUGGUUAUAAAAAAUGAAAGGCUUCAUUGGUUUUUCAUUUGGACUGAGUAAUAAACAAUAGCUUUUAUUAUUAUAAUGUCCAUUUUGGGCUCUUGCACGCUGAUGAGUGUGUGAGACUGUAAAAAGCCGACUCACCUGCUCCUGACCCAGCUGGACCUGGUUCUGCUUGAUGAUGUUUUCUUUCUCCAACAGCUCUUUCUGCUGACGUUCAAAAUCCUCUUUGCCCUGUGGACCAGAAAGAUGCUGUUUGGCUGGAUCAGAGCAGACGGUGGUCACUGAGAUCGAUUGUGCGUCUGUCCAACACUCGGACGUCACAGGAAAACAACAGAGCCUUGUCUGGACUCGGUUCGUCAACACAUGGAUGCACACAGAAGCGUCAGUGCAUUCGAGACUGACGGUGACCUUCUCAGAGUGGAAACGGGAAUAAGAUCCAAAUGUUGAACCUUUCCUUUAAAAACACAAACCUGUAUCUUCAGCGACCAUAAAUCUGAACCAGGUCAAAUGACUCAAUUUAAAUGAUUAGUGAUUUCCAUCCAUGGUGCACAGUGGUAGUCCAGACACAAAUAUUCCAAACCCACCGCACUAUUUCCACGAUGUGGCAUAAAUAAAGCUGAGAGUGGUGAGAAGUGUUCUCACAAACAUGAUUUGCUGGGCUUAAUGCUCUCAAUCACACCGCUUAAACGUUACAGUAGAUUAAUUCCCUUCUGCAUCAUUAGCUGAAUCAGCCACACAGCCGACAGAACAGUCCCAGCACUAUAGCUGCGCAGCCUUUAGCAACCUCUCCAAGGCUCCGCUUUGACUAACCUCACUAACAUGAAGGCUUUCAUUUAUGUCUGAUUGUCACAGUUGUAUUUCAAUGACCUGAAUAGCUCCUUGUAUGCGGCUAAAGGCUUUGCUUUAUUUGGCCUUCAACUUGGCAGUGAUAUAAGUGGCUAAAAAACAAGGCCAUAAAAGUCUGUAUUGGACUUCGAUGGUGCUGCACACGGCGCGUAAACCUUCGCCGUGGACGUGAGUUACUCGUAACUGGACGCCAAGGCCGUCUUUUAAAACCCAGAGUUCAGUGUUCACCCUGUUUUUUUUGUUUCCCUCGUACUUGUUCAUUCACUGUGCAUUGCUUGGGCGCACCUUCCCCUGUGAGUAAUUUGCCUCUGGAUUGGUCUCGUAUUCUGCUGCAGAGCGAACAGUUCAUCAUUCUGUCACCGGCUACUGCAGUAUCAUGCUUCAGUGUCAGGGGCGGUUGUUAAGAUUCAGACGACAUACACAUACCUGCAUAGAGCCUUAAUGGAAACAAGAGCGAGGCCCUAUUUUGCACUAAUUAUAAGGACGCUCAAGUCAUGUGAUACGUGCGAUAUUGACAGCUUAGACUUGGGUCUUGCACCCAAUCAUCCACUUCACUGAACAAUAACCUUGUACACGUUGUCACUGAGUCUUUAGCUCCCUCACGGCUUUAACUAAAACCAACACGAGCUUUGACCCUUGUCUUUAAAUCGUGCACAGACAGACACCGUCUUUGCAACUUUGCAAUCAUGCAAAACCUCCUCAUUGGGAGCAUCCACUAUCUUUCUUCCCUUUCAAACCAUCCGCUGCUCCACCGAGCGACUCUCAGGGCAGCCAGUUCAAUCAGUUACUCUUCAUUUGCAUGGUAAAAUGUCCUAAUAAUACAAUUUCUGAUGUUCUGAACAUCGCGUCUAAAUCACGUUAGAUCUGCACAUUUGUUGGUGAUGAACACUUGGUUCGUGAAGGGCGGUGGAGGUCUGUGACACAGGAGCGAUUUAAGCUCCGUGGCUCCAGGAUUUAGAGUCCGGGUGGUGAUUUGAGAGCAAUGAUGCCCGAUAAUGUGCUGACACCUGCGUUUGUGCUGUGAGAUUCACCGCCUGGCUGAGAGUGUGAUAAGACAUCCAGUUGGCAUGGCGACAGACGGAGCGUAUUGACCCCCUCCCCGACGUCUUACUGGAGCGCUGUGUGCGCGCAUCGCUGUGCGCCUUCUGCGUCUGCUGUUUUCUGGAGACGUGUGAGCAUCUUUAAACGGGCCACUAAUCCCAGGACGUGUUAAAAUGAAAGGAUGCAGACGAGACGAGCUUGAUGAGGGCGUUUGGUGUCACAGCCAUUAGAUUAACUAGAAAACAUGUUGCUGUAACCUCUGCUACGUGUUGACCCUGAUUUGUGAGUGACCAGUGAAUUAACUAAAGGGACCUACAAACAAACUGUGAGGCAUUUUGACAUGUUCUGUGUUUUUGAUCUAAGGUGCAGACAAGCCAGUCUAAUCUGAUCAUAUUCAAUUUCAGCUCACGGUUUCCUUCUGGUAUUUAUCGUUUUCCAUACUUUCAUGCCUUCCCUUUAUUCAGAUGUUGGCCAGAGAUUAUUUGCCAGCACAUUUAGGCAGCGGCUCCAGCUCCAUGGCGUUUAAACAAAGCAUGGACAGAAAACACAGCGGUUUUGGCUUCGCUCCUCUUGUUAUUUAUGGAGAGGAUCCAUCCAUCCUUUUGUGCUCCGCUGGCAGCGGCGAUGCGGGUGGGAAUUCUGGGAAGCGCAGGAUCUAAAUGAGGCAACAGCCCCCCUCUACCUAUAAACAUGUUGGUGGACGCGAGGACCGCCAGUGCCUCUGGCGUUUGAAAUAUGGAGCUCCAGAGUGCAACGCUAGUGCACACAGACAACAAACACGGUUUUAGGAGGGAUUCCUGACCUUUGCCUCCACCUCGGGUCCUGUUACCCACAUAAACGCCUCUCUGGCAGGUGACCUAGUUUUACUUCUUCAGACGGCUUUGUACACGUGAAUCCUCUCUCCUUCCUGCGCUGUUUACCCAGCGCUCUGAUGUUCACCGUGGCUUCGCUCCCAUGGGUUCGUACCUGUAUGCAAAUGUUUUCUUAACUCGCUCGGGCUGAAGCAGAACAAAACGCGAUCAUUCCAAAUGUCUGAAUGCACAGGAAGGACCCAAUGCGAGCCGUGUGUGCUGGGUCUUUGUGUGUGUGCCUCUGGUAAGGCUGGCGGUGAACUGGAAAUAGGGCUUUGGUUUCCUACAUACCCUGCAGACUGAUGAUGAAUGGCUGUAGUGUGGGUAGGUUGUUAAUGAACUCAUAGCACGGCGUAGUCUGGGCCGGCGGAUUGCUCAACACCAAGUCUGGAGCAGAAACGCUACAAAUCUAAUUGUGGCUCUGGAGAGCGGAGUCCGACUGCGCUGAUUGCUCUCUGGUUGCCGUUGUCAGGAUGCGAAGCUCUGCCCAGGAUCUGUGGCUGCAGAGCAAAGCGAGCGUUUGGCUCACAUCUGGAUUUGGUGUUGGCUGUGGGUGGAGGAGGCAAGGUGAAGCGGGGGACAGUCCUGGUAUUAACACAUGUGUCUGCGGCGUGAAGUAGACGCAAACAAAUAGCAUCAAGCAGCCGAAGCCACGUGAAACGUUUUAUCUAAAAUCAUUAUUUUACUCGCCGUCGUUUGUUAUGUAAUGAGCAUAACACAUAGGAAAUAGCCGGGAUGCCACAGCAGCGGCAUCCGCUUUGCCUCUGUUUUGUUUAAAAGUCAGUGAUGUGGCUCAGCAACCUAAGAUCCGACCGGCUCAAGCUUGAUGUGUUUAUUUGAACAAUUCUGUUGCACGCCUGAGGUCCAUUUGUCUCCUGCUCCUCCAGGCAGGAUGUGCUGAGCCGCUGCACCAGGUUUCUGCUGAUACUCAGUUCCUGCAGUUCCUCAGACUUUUGUUUCUCCUCGUGCAGGUAUUGAACAGCCUGAGUUCUGUUUUCUUUUCAUUACAUUAUCUCAUUAGUGCCGUUUGUAGGGAAGUGGUUGUUUCUGGGCUUUGACUCACAAACACGGACAUCUGAAAGGUUAUUCUGGUAAUGGAGCUGGCUCGAGGACACAAUGUUUUUAUGCCAAGUUUGAUCCAAAGCAGCAGCUCACACAGUAUGUGUCCAAUGCAGACUACACGUCCUUUGUACUCGUCAGUUCUCUGGUUCGAGGCAAAAGCCAUGAGCACAUCCAUCAUCGUGGUUCAGUUUUAGUGUUAGCCAGACUUAACCUUGUCAGGAACUGCAUAAUACUUUAUUAUGGGACAGUAUAUCUCAUAUCCAAACCUUUUGUCUGUGUUUGGUUCUGGUGACCACCGUACGGACCAGAUGUUUACACGACAGCGCAGGCUGGCGCACGACAGUCAGUGUGAUGUCCCAGUGAGGAAACAGCAGCAUCAACAUGUUCACAAAUGCAAAUACAAUCGAGUCCCUUAGAUUUAGAUUCUCCUUUUCGCUCCCUCACUCGAACAGGGUCUCCCUCCCUCACACACACAAACACAGCCAAACCUGUGGUCACCCGCUCCUGCUCUCCGCCAUCCGGAGUGGUUUCUCCUCGAUGCCAUGUUCCGCAUCCAGAGCUGGAGUCAGUCUGAGUGAAGGCAGCCACACAUGCGCUCCUCGUGCACACGCCUGCGGGGUCCAGCAGCGCUGUAGUUCUGCAAAAUGUGACUUUUAUUCAUUUGGAUUAGGCGAAGGGAAGUAGGACCGGCUGCACGUCUGACUUCAUGCCUACUAAAACAUCACCGUGGCACCAAAACAAGGCAGCGACCCGGGUCCACGUCGACAUGUUUGUAUUCUGUCUCACUUUCCAGAUACCUUGACCGCCUCAGAUUGAUGUUGUAUCUAAAUUUCUCUGAAACAGAUGCCGAGGAAGAAACGAGAAUCUUCAGAGCAGAUGAAAAACCCAUUGGCGGUGGAAUGUGCAGUAGGCCUGUGCCUGACUUCAGCAGGCAUUUGUUUUUGCUGUUGAGCUCAUCUGAGCGAAGGAACUUUAAGCGAUGUUUAUAUUUGUGUUCCUCUGGCUCACGGGAGCAGCUCAGAGUUUGAGUCUGGGUGAAAAAUGUGCCCCGCUGUAAAUCAAUUCAUAUUCCAAGUGGUGUUUGAAACAACUGGAGCAUGAGUCGCAGAUGUGAUGUGUUGUGAUCCCGGCAAGUGGUGUUUUGUUGUGUUAUUCUUGCAUGAAAUACAGAUUUUGGAAAUUUAUAUCAUGUGCCUUUUGGUGCACAUUUCGUCCAGAGCUCAUUGGAGCUCGACCACAAUAACAUAGUUUACAUUUUUCAAAAUGCAAACGCCAACUCUUGCUCCGUGCACGUCUGCUGAGGUUCGAGAACCCAACAGGCAUGCACUUCUCCUUAUUUAGCUGGAAUUAUGGAUUGCUCGUCCACCACUACCUGCGGCUCAGCCGGUUCCACCAGAUCUGGUCCAGGAGCAGAUGCUGGCCAGGAAAGCAGCCGCUGCAGGGUUCCCGCUUCUGAUGCUGCCCCGAUAUAACCUGCCUCCCCUCAGGCUCCACCGCUGCCGAGCCUCCCUCCUCGUCCUCAUCUCAUCUAACUAUGCACACGCAACCACACUUUGACCAGGCAGCGAUGUUUGUUUGUGAGCGAGACGAGGCCUCAGGACUCGCUAAACAAAACCCCUCGGAGAUUAGCAGGCGUUUAGAUGUAAAGUGUGUGGUUUUCAUUUAAUUGAUGAUGAUUAUUUCUGCAGAGACUUUUAACUGCGCUUUCAGGAAGCCAAGAGAAACUGAAUGAAAGCUCUCUUCAGUCAUGCACAACCAGCUGCAAACGCUACACAUGGUAUGUGUUAUGAGUAAAUACACAACAAGACAUUCAGAUGAUAAUAUUCUAUUAUCUGUACUAUAUUUCACCACCUUAUAGCAGCGAUUUGUUUUACAGGAUAACCAGCCAAACAUUGUUUUUGCAAAAUUAUGGAAAAUGUAAUUUUGUUGACUAACUCCUCACAUGUCCACAUAGAUGGUCCGUCUGCAUUCUGGCAGCUGUGGUACCUUCCACCCCUCAGUUGGAGCCUGGGACUUGUUAAAUCUGUGUCGACCGGCUUCAAUCGUCGCCACAAUCAGCAGCUCAUUGUUCGUCUUUGCUUCCAGCUGAUCAACGACGACGUGCAGUCAGAUUCAGCAGGGCUGAAUAACGCAUUGUGUAAAAGCGCUCUCACCACUGAUGUUUCCCUGCAGCACAGCAGCACCGGCCGAGCGGCGGACGAGCCCAUGUUCUGUUUAUGCUGCUGCUCCGCUCGGCACGUUCAAACAAUAGCACGUUUAUCAGCAGGGUUUCCUAUUCCCUUGUUACGCGACUCUGCAGCCGAGUGGAGCCGCAAACGUCCGCGUCCUGUUACAACAACAACAAGCCUGAGCCGCUCUCCCUCGCGUCGCUGCCAUCCUCCCCUGCCCUCCUCUGGGACGUUUACACUAUAUCACUGUCAGACUGAGGCUCAGAGCUCCUUCGGGACACAACAUUCCCAUUAUGAAAUGACCCCAUUUUGUUGGGCGCUAUGAAUAUGAUGUAGGCUUGUCGACUUCAGGCCCUUUUGUCUGAAGUAGAAUCCCAAACAAUGCUAAUUGUUGCUUGCGAUGCUUUUCCAUUUUCGCGUCCUCUCAGCCUCUCGCUCCUCCUUUGUCUCGGUUUCGGCCGCUCUGUGGAGGUACAGUCGUGCCCCGCACCCUGCUGUUAGCUCAGCCCUGCACAACAAAAGACCUCCAUUUAGGGAUUAUCCUGUACAGGAUGUAGUUGACCUUUCACUCUCCCUGUUUGUUUGCUGUGGUUUGUCUCCGGUGAAUGAGCUCGGGGGCAACUUGAGCUCUUCGCUACAGCUACAGUAGAUGUCAGCGGCAGGAUGUUUUAGCGGAGCUCAAAGAAUUUAUGAAGACUAUAAAGCAGGAAUUCGGGGCGACAUUUGAAGUUAGCUAGAUGUGCAGCGGGUUUAAUACUCACAUUUCUACCCUCACAGGGUUUCAAAGCUUAUGCUUUAUUAAUAUGUUUUGCAGAAUUUUAAGGUUUGAUGAAAGUUUGUCAGCUUCCCUGAUGCUGAUGUUGUUUCCCACUGUUCUCUGCUUGUAAAUUAAGGUUUAAAUCAUAAACUGGACUUAAGAUUGCAGCAUGUGCAGCACUUUGAUCAGAUGCAGCCACCAAACACAGUUUAUAAAGAUAAAGAGUUGUCCAUCUCAUCGUGACGAAUCAGGAGCUGAGAAGUGGGUCACGGCAGCUGUUUCCAAAGCUCGGCCAGACUGGAGUCCCACCGGCAACAACCUCCAGCCGUUUCCACUGCGGCUACAUUUAGAUUGGUGAUAAAGAGACGGGUGCAAAGUUAGGAGAGUACCAAUCACCGUUUUCACAGUCAAGCUCCAGGCUGAUGCUGAGGGCACUGACCCGGCUUUGCUGGUGCUCAGUCCUCGUCCCACACGUCAAGACCGGCGUCGAGGGAGGAGCUAAGGUCAACAAACAAACUGGGCCCGGGGUGGUAUCAUGAUACGGUAUCUGCAUCUGCUGGACACAACAUACAGACGGACGCUUACUCCGAGAGACAAAACACAUGCAGUCCCCCACCGGUCCCGCGGCCAGCGCUUCAGGGGAGAUUUACCGGGUCCAGGCUUCAGCCAUCGGGGGUUUGACAUGGACCAGGAUGUGCAGGGAAGUGGAAUGAGCAAAAAGCAGUUGUGUCAUCACAGCGGCUCUGAGGGCAUCGUGUCAGCUCCCUGUUGUGUUUGUGUGUUUGUGUGGGUGAGAAAGAAACUGAAAGAGAAAGAGAGACGUGGGCAGACUGACUUUACAGACAUAAGAUGACUCACUUAUGUCAAAAACAGGUUUGUCCAACCUACAGGAAAAGCAGAUGAGGUAAACACACAUUUUAUCUACAAUUAAGACUAUAGAUUAUAGGUUACUGUGAAGAAUCCAAAUCGAUUGAAUAUCCAGACUGUGGGAUCAGCCCCGGAGCGGCCGUCUCCGUCGGACCCCAGCGUUUGUCGGGGGGUCCGCCUGAAAAAGCAAAGUGCCAGACUCAGCCUGUCUAAACAGGGACAGAGGCUCAUCUCCGUCAUCACUAACACGUGUUGGCUUAAAAAAACGCAAGUGGCACAAAUACAACUUCAUCAUUAACCUAGUUUGUCAUUUUAGUAGAUGUGUCUCACUUUUGAAUUUCAUCAUCUGAGAUUAGGUUGCUAAAUAGUAGCAACAUUUAUUUCUGUAAAUACUGAGCAAUUAAAUAUUUAGAUUCAUAAAGACUAAGCAUGAGGGUUACCAAUACAUAUUUAUUUAUGAUUUUAGGGGAAAUAAGCACAACCCAGUAAAAUCCUGAGCACAGGACCGCUUCCAUUCCAGCCUUUCAGCCCUUUCUUCCAAACUGUGUGAACCAAACGUCACUGUGUGAUCCUCUAUUUGGGAAAUUCAUUCACAAACUAUCAAAAUCACAACCGCGCACAACAACAAUAACCUUGUUGCUUGUUGUUUUAUUCCAGCUAAUUUGUGUUUUCAAACUUCCCAUCGCUACAAAGACCAGGAUGACACGUCUCCAUAUGCGUCGUAAUCACGGAGAUUUAUGAUGAUUACAGUGACGGAGAGGCUGGCAUCUGUUUUGGCUUUAAAGCGUCCAGUCUGGAGGAAACAUCUGCGCAGUUUGACUUCUUUCUCACCGAGCUGUUAAAAACACUCAGUUGUAAGGUUUACUUUCACAAACGCAGGCCAGUUUUCCCCUUUCCUCUCAUGGCAACAGGCUCAGAGAGCAGCACGAAACUAAAAAUGAUAAUAACAUCCCUUCAUAUUUCUUCUGAAUGAAGCCAUUAGCGAUGCAAAGGAGAGCUGAACUGUGUGUGCACAGGGCUUUCCCCCUUCGCUGUAAUUAUUCCUACAUUUGCAUUUCAAAUUCAAUUCUCUCUAAUAGAGGACAGAUUACUUUCUCUCCCCGUUUCUGUCACAGUGUAAAUAAUUCCACAUUUCAUUUCACAGACGGCGGCAUAAUGACAUGCAAAUCAGUUCACUAGACUGAAAAACCCCUGAUGCCAACGAACAGACAGCAGACUUUCUUCUUGGCACCACAGUCAAUUUGGGAUGAGUUUAUUUUACUGUGAUGGAAGGACAGAAAGGAAGACUUCCAGCAAGAAGUCGCAAACGCAGGACUUAUUAGUGUCAUGAGUCAGUCUGAGUUAAAUGUGGAGGAAGCAGCCAGGAUGUAGCUCUGCUGACAGAAGUCCACUACUGACUCUUGCUGGUGACAGUUCUGUAAAUAUUGUUGCAGUUCUUUGGCAAAUAUUGUCACACUCAGCCUUCAAGUUUAUCUAAUUUCUCCCCCGUCGCCCCUCGAUUGGCUUAAUUACCGUUAGUUACUGUCUUAUUAUUCUGUAACAUGAAUCGUGAGGCUUGUUCUCAUUUAUUAAUUGGCUACCUUUUACUACCCACAAUGCAUCUGGACCCAGCUGUGAAGGCCACGGCGUGUCGAUCAUGUCCAGUGGCUUUGCUUUCGAGGCGCGGAGCAGACAAAAACACUGCGCUGACGCACAAGGAUGGGACUCGAGAGCAUCACUAAUCACCGGCUUUUAAUUGCAGAAUUAGAGCUUCUCCGACGAGGCCACGUUCAGUUGAGAAGGCGACUGACAUGCGAACACACGGGCCACUUUGCUGUAACACCAGCUCCCUCCCUGUGGUGGACUGAAAUAGCUCAGGCAGGCACAGCGCGCUGCCAUAAUUAGGCCUGUUUCUAAUAAACAGCGACAGAGGAUGUCACAGCUGUCGGCUCUGCUUUACGUGGACACGUGUAAACGGCUCAGAACCACAGUCAGGGCGUUUCUCUGACUGUGACGUGCUUAUUUUGAGUGGAUAGAUGUACUGCAUAUAGGGACGAUAACAAUAGGACAGCUGACAUUUGUUCUUGCUAGAAAACAUACAUCUUGUGCUGUCCUCAGCUUCACAUCAACACACCUACAGCUUUUUCCUGGCAGCUGCUCCUGUUAAUAGAGCUACUUUCUUUCUCUCUUCCAAGGAAGCCUGUGUCCUGCCAGCUGAGGUUUCUCUGCGAAGCCUUUAAAAGACCACGUACCUCAUACCUCAGAACCUGAGUCACUGCCCGAUGUUCUGUUCUGGUCGGCCUGACUCAUAGGAGGACAAACAUAAAUGCGCGGGACCUCUGCGGAUGCCUCUGUGGCAGCUUCUUUGCUCCACUGGCUGCUGUCCACAUCAGCUUUAAGCACGGUGACCCUGGGAUCAGGCUCGCAUGCCUUCCUCUUGAGCUCAGCCCAGAUCAAGAAAAUGCUCGGCAUUCUGGGGGCUUUGACGUGGGGCAACUCUGCUAAACAUAUCAGAGGGCGAAGUGUGGCGUUUAUGUUGAGGAAUGUCUUUAUUCUCGUGUACUGAAAGCUAUUUUCCAACCAGGCUUUAGACCGUGCUAUGCUGCCUCCGCUCCGAACGUGCCACUGGGCUGGAAUCCUCGGAGGGAGGCUGUGAAAAUGCAGUUGUGUGCGCUUUGUGAGUAAUGUCAUUAAGUUCAGGCCGAAGUAUCUGCGGAUAAUGUGCCAUUUGCUGAUGAAAGACACGCAGCCUCUAGAGACACGGCUCCCGCUGAUGGGAGAAGCAGCCAUCCCUCCCCCUUCAUUUGAAGCUUCACUGCUGAGCUGUGACCCGUCCAGUCGCUGGGCCCGGAUGCGUGCAUCAGCUACUGCCACAUGCAGCAAUAACAUAACCAGAGAAUGUGACAAAAGAUAAACCACCAUGAUCUCAGGACACAGAUACUAAAUGUUUUGUAAACACAGGAUUAGAUGGAAUCAACGGCCUAAUCUUCUUAUCUGCUCAGAUAAAUCUAAAAAUACGUAGUUUUCCACCGCUUCUUCAAUAUUUUAAAGGGCAGUAACAAAACCGCCACGUUUAAUUGUCUUGUUCUCGACUUGUGACUGUGUUUGAAUCCUGUGGUUGAAGGUCAGGGCCGCUGUGACGCAGGAGCAACCGGAGCCACAAAUGUCCACAUGUGGAUCAACUGGUUCGAGCGAAGCUCCGAACAGUCGUCUAAACCAGCACAGCAGCCUGAAGUGCUGCAAUCAAACGAAAUCAGGCAUCGCAUUAAACUAAAUGCUGAAAACAGGAAAGAAGGCUUUGAGCAGGUUAAGACUUAUUGAGAAAAUUGAGCCACAAUAAGAUCCAGAUGUCAGAAAUGGGAAAAUGCCUAAUGUGUGAUGUUCUGAGCUCCGCGCUGCUGUUUGCACCCCAGAGGAAGCUGACGCACAACUUUGUCAUCGUAUUCACUUUGUUUCCACGUGGCACUAAUACUCAGACUUCUAUUUAUAGCACUUGGAGGACACUGGCUGAAAUACUUCCCAGCAUUUUGGCUCAUUGCUAUUUUUAUCAUUCCUGAACCAGUUUCUUGUUGUGGGCGUCCCUAAGAAACAGUUUGUUCUUGUACCUGUUUUGAGGAGGAAUCAGCAGCCUGUGAUGGAUUCAAAGGGAACAUUGUUUUUGUUUUUCUCGUUUCCAUGCAGUUGAUGAUGCCCUGUAAUUUUCAGCCGCUGCAGACUGGCACAGCUCAGAAGCCACUGACAUCAGCUCAAGGAGGAGCGAUCCUCAUUCAGCAGCACAUUUAACCUACAGACGCGAUGAGAUGUGUUGCUUCGUCUGUGUUUGUGCAGAUGUUAUGUGCGUCUGGGGUUUAGUUGUGUUAUGCAGCUUCACCUGGAGGUGACGUCAGGUUAUAAAUGAUCUCAGGGUCUAAAACGAUGCUGAUUUAAGGUUCUGGUGGCAAAGAAGCCAACUCUGAGACCCUUAAGGAUGGUUAUCCAUAAAUCUGCAGUCAAAUCUCACAAAAUCUGGAUAAAAGAUCUGGAUUAGGGUGUAAUUUUACUAAAUUACACCUCGGAUGCCAGAAGAAACAUGCCUUUCUCAGUCUCAGGUUUCUUGCCUCAGUAUUAAUGACACAUUUGAGCCCAUAAAUGUUGUCUGUAUUUUUUAAAUCUGCCUUUGAGGCUCAUUCGUACACUUUUCUAACCCAUCCGUGCUAAAUCACUGCACAUUCACACCUUGCUGCUCCUCUCCACUGCCUUUAAUAAUUAAAGGAGCCGCUUUCUUCUUGACUGCGUGAGCAAAUCCUUGCCUCACCUGCCUCCAGGCUCCGCUUCUGAUGAAACUGUCCAGGCUUGAAACAAAACUUGAUCAGUGCUGUGUAGAGGAAAUUACUGUAUGUCAGUCAAAGGAAUCUUUCCGUGAAGCUGCCACUCCUUAAAUAAAUAGUGAUAGAUUCUGGAGAAGGUUUGCUUUGUUUAUCCUGAGGCUGAAGUACACUGUAGAGCACAUAUAAUACAUUUCUUAUAUGUACUUUUCAUUUUCAUUUUCUAAAAGGCAUUUCUUAAUCCAUAAUUUAUGAAGUUUGAGCACAGGGAACCGAACAGCGCGAGUUCAGGGAAGCAGGCGUCUCCAUAUGUUCUGGGAAGGAGCCACCCGAUGAUGGGAAGCUCUGGAGCAGUGGCAUCACACCUCUGACAAGCAUGAGAUUUAUUUAGUCUAUCACCACCGGCGACAUCAGGGAUGACUCAUCCACGGUUUUAUGUCCUCUGGACUUCGGAGGAAAACCUACGGAGUAGCUGAAGGUAAAUAUUUAUGUGGAGUCAUGCUAUACUAGUGGAUGAGCUGUACACCCACAACCCUCAUAACUCAGUGUGGUUAAACUCUCAGGCAGAAAACUCUUUGGUGAUAAAGUGGGAAUGAGCAACUUACUGUACAGUACCUGCCAGUUACAGUAAAAUUUGUUCGCGCGACGAUGAUAAUUAUCUGUGUUUGAUUGCUUUGAGGUGCACACGAUGCGUCUGAGCAGGUUGUGUCUGUGCAGUUAGAUAAGGCCUAUGGAGGCUGGACCUGCAGCUGCUGCUGCAGGGGACGAGGACGAUGCGGGCUCAGCUCAGGGCUUUGCUGGUGAUUCGUCACAGGUGUAGAUGUGUGAUCAGGGCGAACUCUCCCGCUCGUGUGUGGCUGCUGUUGACAUCAAAUCCACACAUUUCAUAGCUCCCCUGGACUGUGAUGGAAACAGCUCAGGUUUAUGUGGGUCAUGUCGUCCUGCCUCCACGCACAGAUUCCAGACCCGACGGGCCUGCUGGGGCCGCAUGGUUCGGGCCGCUUGGCCGACUGCAAGCGUGCUGGGAACGUUUAAUGCUUCUGGAAAGUCUGGUGCGCUUCACCCACAUACCGCUGGCAUCUAUUUCUUUCCGUUUCCCCCGCUCCCGGCGAGUUAUAGUGACUCUGGGAUGGAUGUAGGCCUCCGGGGGUGAGCUAAGCUGGAAUAAUUGAAGUUACAGGUUCUGUCUGAUUCUCUGGAUGAAUAGUUUGCAGUUCUGUGCUCCUCUGUUAGACAUGCUCUGCCGUCUUGAAAUGUUAAGCAUUCAUUCGAUAAGGCCUUGAUGAUGAAUCCUACCAGGGAUCUUACUGUAUUUACUGUCUUUCCUGUCAGAGCUCAGCUUUUUUUAGAUGUUCAUAACUUACAACUUCAAUUAUAAGUUACAAGUUCCUCCACAACAAUGUGGUGUUGUUGUUCUGCAAUAAACCCCCAUCAAAGUAAAACAUUAUUAAUGAGGACAAGUAAAUUACACAGCUCCUUGUUUUGAUAUUGACCAAAACAGAAAUUUGGGCCCUGGGGGAAAGUUUCUCAAUGAAAGAGCAGAUUCACCCACGUGCAGGAACAUGAAGCCGCUCGUCCUAAUGACUCACUGCUGGAGUUUUCAGUCUUAGCUAAACAUUUCUAGCCAUUAGCAUCAGCCGAGUCGUCCUGCCUGAAGCAGUAUGGAUCUCAGUCCAGGUUUCCCACAGUUGAACAGCGGCAUCGGUGGUCACUCAACACUUUUUGAUGUACCCUUCAAAGAGGCAACAUCCCUCUAAUCACAUAAACCCUGAAACCCCUGAACCACUGGCUUCCAAUGCAAUAAAUUACCUCUUCUAAUAUGUAGCUGUUAAUCAUUUGCGUCAUGUGAUUUCCCCCGAAAUAAAAAAAGCAGCUGAAACGAAACAUCUUUAAAGCGGGUGUUUGUUUAGAGGAGAAUAAUGGGAAACGUGUGCCAAAAGCAGUAAUGCGAUGAUAUAAGAGACUGGGAGUGAAACACGGCAGACGGGAUGAAGUCAAGGAUAUCCUGGAGGCAGAUUGUGUCAGACGCAGGUGUAGCUCUUAGUUGUGGUCAAGUCCCGAGUCUCAGGUGCAGCUAUUUUCAUGUGGAGCCAAGAGAGAUCAAACCCCAUUCGUUCAAGCACGGCCGCUGUUUAAGCUGUGAUUGUGAGCACCUGCCUUUCUAGGGCCAUCAAAGGUGAGCUACAAUAGCCUGGCUCAGGAUCAUCUGGGAGCUCCUUGUUCUCACUACAAAGGAGGCAGAGGACCGGCCCGUGAACUCGGCUUGACUUCACAUUUGUCAACCUCAACUCCACACAAUUGAGUUUUUUGGUGUCCGUUUAACUGGGACACAAUAAAUCUACAAAUUGCUUUGAUCUUUCAACAAUUAUUGGUUAUAAGUGAAAUCAUCCACCUAUUAUUUAUGUCAUAAUAUUCAAAAUGUCAGAAUAAGAUUUAGAAAGAAGACAGAUGUAACUGUGAAGCAGCACAGUUCCCAUAAUGUCUACGUGAAUGAAACCCUUGAAGAACGCUGCCACAGUUUUUAAAUUAGCGGUUUACCACCAACAGAACAUCAGGAUGGGCUCUGAAAUGAUUUGUGAGCAGACAUCGCACCUUUGUUUACUUUAAAGUUGUGCUUUUUAAUUAGGCUUAGUGGUAAAUCCAGCAGCUCAGCUCAGCUUAGACAGAAGACAGGAUGCUGGCACAACUCCUACUUCACAGCAGCUCCAAAGCCCACUGGGGAGUGCGUCAAAGCUGCUUUCUCAAAGGAGUGGAACGCAGCAUUCAGCAACCUGAAAGUUAUAAUCAUAGACUUUCUUUAGCUAAGACAUUUAUUUUGACUUUGGGAGCCAGUCUUCCUUCGUGGAGGCUGCCGUGUUUCUGCUACAGCCCAGUACAGAGACAGGACGCUUGUGUUUUAAUGGGAACUCUCAGCUUGAAUCUGAAGACGUCUCUAAUAUUACGGCUCUAACAUACAGUUCCACUGUUACAGGUUAACAAGUAGAAAGUAGUUUCACUCACUAUGAGCACAAAUUAAAACUUCUAUUUAAUUACUAACAAGAAAGUUAUGUUAACAAGCUAGUUUGGUUUUCAUAUGAUCGUUGGAUUUUGAACGCAGUGCGAACUAAAAAUGUGAAAAACCCAGAAGCACAUUUGAAUACAGUGAAGGCAAAUGGACGUUUUCUACAAUUCAUAUCCUCCAAGUGGAACCAAAGGGAGCAGCGUGAAAUUUAAAACAGUCGUCAAUCAUUCCUAUGGAUUUAUGAUGUUCCCUGGUAUAUGGCAGCUGGAAGAUGAUGCAUGUCUAAUAGUAGAGCAGCAGCACCUCGAGUCAUCACAGCCAGUUGGCUCCAGUUGAUGUCUUCACUGACAGCGAUGUUGGCCAGAUAGGGGGCUUUGCUCAUGACUCACCUGGGUCAGGGCCGUCUGCCCGAGGGGCGGAAAUGACAGAAAGAGAAAACAUUCCGAGACCACAGCACCCGCAGCUCAGUGAGCCGGAGAGGAGGGGGUAUUUCACCUUGCAGUUUCAGUUACAGCCACCCCGAGGUGAAGACAAUAGGCUUGAUGUAUGUGUGAUUUGAAAAAGACAUAAUGCAUCUGAACUGCUGCAGGUCUGUGCAGAAGCCCCAGGCUGAGUCUGUGGGCGAACACAAUGCCAGCGCGGAUCUGUCUGGGAUACGGUGACGGCUCAUGUUGCCCCCAAAAAAUCCCCAUUUGGGACAAAAACAUUUGUCAGGACCCUUGAUGGAAGAGGGGAUUCACAUUCACGCCUCACCGUUCAAAAGCAGAGGCUGACAGUUCUAAAGAAUGCAGCGAUGACACACGCAGGACGGGAACAAUGGCGGCAGCGGGGCCUCAAGAGGCAAACACUGCACCGACAUUGGGUUUCACUGUCAUUUUAACGCCUUCUAACCCACUAACCCUCUGACACUUUGUUUGGUAGCCGUCUGAACAUGGAGGCGACUGCUAGAGAGCAAAACUCCAGGCAGGGAAAAAUGAGAGAAGGAAUCCACCUGCUGGCCAACUGCAGGAACCAUCUCAUCCAUCAAAGCAGGGCCUUUUACAUGACAUUUUAAUCUGCCUGCUGUCCAAUUAAGCAGUGAUCAUUAAUUAUGUGUCAGAUGUGAUUCUUGUUUGACCUUUAUUUUAGCAUUCAGCUGGCGCUUCAUUAAAUCGACGCUGCACUGAAUGCAUUUGAUAUGUUAAUAUCUUGUUUGUUUUCCAUGUGCUGGAAGAUCUCCUCCUUCGGUAAACAAAUCUGGGUUUUCCUGGGGGUGAAGGAAAAGCAGAGAUAUCGUUCAGCCGUAUUUGCUUUCAUUAGUCGACUGUAACCCCAAAGAGUGAACGCGUCUUUUGUUCCCACAUCUGUGCUCUGAGAUGGUUCAGAUCAAUUCAAAGAUGUGGAAAGCUGUGGGAGAGUCAAAGAACUCUUUCAUCCCACUGCUAUGACCACUGAUGUGUCUGUGCCUUCAUCUCCCCCACCCACGUAGCUCCACCUCCCCCAGAACGCUUGAUUUCACACAGCUGAUCAUCCACGUUCCCAGGAUCAACCAGAGAACAAUUACUGAUGAAAGACUUCCUCCAAUGGUAGAAAUAAGAAAAACAAAGAGGCUCCAGAUUUUUGCUUGUGAUGCAGAUAUUUGUAUUAGCAAACACAGUUACUGCACAAAUCUGCUUUAGAUGAAAAAACAUCUGUGGCGAUCGAGCUACUGGAACAAGUUACUGUACUGUAAAUACUCAUAUUUAAUGUUAGCAAACAAACUUUUAAAACUUUUUCCUCAGACCUGUCUGUUCUUGUCAAGUGAGAGAAAAGAGGUGGAACAGGAUCCCUACAAGAAAAGAGUGAAUGGAGCUAUUUCAUCAAGCAACUUUAUGGUGAUAUAUCUAAAUAUAUCUUUUACACAUAAUUGUUCCAGAUCAUAUACAGUAAAGGAUUUGCCGUACAGUACAUUCCAACACCUCUUUCCUAUAUUAUUUAAAUGAAUUUUCUCACUUUCUAAUAUUGGUUGUUUUCAACCCAUACAUAAUUAAAGCUACAU